rnacentral:tRNA from 1 species
GGGGAUAUAGCUCAGGUGGUAGAGCGAGCGCCGCCCUUGCAAGGCGGAUGCCAGCGGUUCGAGUCCGCUUAUCUCCA